UACCUCAAUGAGAUGAUUCUUAGCUCCU
rnacentral:piRNA from 1 species